AUGGCGUCAGGAGUGAACGCUGGCGGCGUGCCUAACACAUGCAAGUCGAACGAAGCAUAUUUGCCGGAGAUUCGUCAAGGGGGAUAUGACUUAGUGGCGGACGGGUGAGUAAUGUAUGAGCAACCUGCCUUUCAGAGGGGGACAACAGUUGGAAACGACUGCUAAUACCGCGUAACGUAUCGUGAGGGCAUCCUCGUGAUACCAAAGGAGCAAUCCGCUGAAAGAUGGGCUCAUAUCUGAUUAGCUUGUUGGCGGGGUAACGGCCCACCAAGGCGACGAUCAGUAGCCGGACUGAGAGGUUGAACGGCCACAUUGGGACUGAGAUACGGCCCAGACUCCUACGGGAGGCAGCAGUGGGGAAUAUUGGGCAAUGGGCGAAAGCCCUGACCCAGCAACGCCGCGUGAAGGAAGAAGGUCUUCGGAUUGUAAACUUCUUUUAUGAGGGACGAAGGACGUGACGGUACCUCAUGAAUAAGCCACGGCUAACUACGUGCCAGCCGCUGC
rnacentral:rRNA from 1 species